rnacentral:rRNA from 1 species
AUACGGAGGAUGCGAGCGUUAUCCGGAUUUAUUGGGUUUAAAGGGAGCGUAGGCGGGAGCUUAAGUCAGCGGUUAAAUGGUGCGGCUCAACCGUGCCCUGCCGUUGAAACUGGGUUUCUUGAGAGUGCAAGAGGCGGAUGGAAUUCAUGGGGUAGCGGUGAAAUGCUUAGAUAUCAUGAAGAACUCCGAUUGCGAAGGCAGUCCGCUGGGGCACGUCUGACGCUGAUGCUCGAAGGUGCGGGAAUCAAACAGGAUUAGAUACCCUGGUAGUCCGCACGGUAAACGAUGAUUACCCGCUGUCGGCGGUAGACAGUCGGCGGCCAAGCGAAAGCGAUAAGUAAUCCACCUGGGGAGUACGCCGGCAACGGUGAAACUCAAAUGAAUUGACGGGG